UCAACGCAGAGUACUUGUUUCACAUAUUGGUGUUUUUGCGUGCUAUCGGUUUGGUCGUCAUAAGGUAUUGAUUCAAUGUUAUGAAAGUAAUCUUAGCUCCAUUUCAUUAAAUCGUUCUUGGACAUGUUUUGUUUUUAACGAUGGACAGUUGGACAUUAUUGCUGUUUUAAACUGAGGUUUUACGAUCAGUCGACUACUAACAUUAUUUGACGAAACUUGUACUCUUCUAACAUGAUUAAAAACAAUCAAUACAGUAGCUGGUUUUAUCUCAUUGCCUUUUUAUUUACAUUUGGUGCGACGAUUGUUUGUUAAAGACCUUCUCUUUGUAACUUUUUCUAUGACUUCAAUGUACGUAGACGUGACUUUAAUGUGUGCUGAUCAUAAAGAUUUUAUAAAGUGUUGAGUGUUUUAACUGCCUGAUAUAUAACUAUGGUUACGAUAAAUGCUGUUUAAAAUAAAUGUUUUACUGUUUUACGUAAGUAGACACUUCGUAUUUCGACAUAUUUCGUAGAAGAAAUAUUAUUUCUUUCAAUAAAACGUGCACAUACACAAAUCCUUUAAAAAGGGCAUGUAAUAAAUAUUUCAACUAUUUUCCUAAUGAAUCAAUACGUGGUGAUUGUGGAUGUUUUCCAUUUGACGUUACGCCAAUGCUGGGACGCCGAUCAUGUCAACAUAACGCAACUAUGACAGUAAACAUGAAAUGGAAGUUAUUUACACGACUUUGUAGAUGGAUAAAGUUGGAACGAACGUAGAAAACUAUAGCACAGCACAUCGACAACAUUAUUUACAUUGGUAGUAUUUUAUCACCAUGCAGGUUUGUCGGACUUCACGUUCACACUAUUUGGUAUGACGUUUCCAAGAACUAUUGUUUUUUGUCAGUUUAGUCCUGGUAAACUAUAAAUGGGAAUUACCAUUGUAUUAUAUGACGUCAUUAUUGUGUAACUUCUGAAACCUUAAUUGUGGAGGGGGUUACAUGUGGUAACGUUGAUUUCUUUUAGCUGUUACUCUAGAAGGAUAAGUUCAGUGUUUUUUACUUAAGAAAUAAUCUUUAUUAUACUUUCAUGUUAAUUUUAAUGACUUGUUGCAGGAAAUAUUUACAGUUAUUAGAAAGCCGAAGUUUUAAACCAUUCAGGAAGUACCAGCAACUUGGCGACACCUGGAGCUGUUCAAAUUUUUAGCUAUCUUCAAAAGGACUCAACUACAAGAAUAUCUUGGGAAUGAUUAUCAUUGUAAAAAACCAUUUGAACUUACGUAUUGAAUUUGAAAAGAUUCGUAUUACAUUGGUCAUGUCCUAAAUUGUAUCGAGAAGACUUCGACAAUGUUGGCCUCGGCCGGGAUGAUUUUCCAAGUUUGCUUGAAGAAAAUUCACAGCAUCACCUCUUCAUGAGAGUGAGGACAACUAGUAUGGCUCAAAUAUAAAUAGUAUAGACUAAAAGCAUGACAAUGGAGAGUUGCAAAAUGUAUUGUCGAGUUGAUCAAACCUCUACAGAAAUACCUCAAGUUUGAAUUGUUUAUCAAGCCUAGUUCUUAUUCAUCGCAAAACGUGGGCGAUAGAACUUCUACGACUUAGCGAGCGCUUACGAUUAAUGAGAAUGCAUUAAAAAUUGUGUUUCGGAUUUUUUGUGACGGUCGCUGAACAUCGGCGUCACGAUCAUUGCCGAGUGCUACUUGCUUAAAAUAUCUUUUUGAACGACAAUCAGUUGAGUCGGGCAACUUUGGCGACAACUUUUACUAUAAACAUUUCAAGCUGAACAGAAAUCGUUAACUUUAGAUUAAAUGGGGCCAUUUUUACUUGAUAUGAAUAUCAAAGCGAUAUCAUCGGUAUGCAAGCGAUAUUGGCUUGUAUAUCAUCGCCGAUUUAUUAGAACCUUUCGUGCGCUGGCCAUCACCUACCAUCGGCUAUAAACAUCACCGAUUCUAGCGAUGCUUUGUGAUAAAUGACAACUAGGCCUAAUGUACUUAUAAAACUUCACGCAAAUUAUUGAAACCGAUGUUUCAAAUUUUUUGAUGAAGAUUAUGUUUUAAAUAUUGCUUCUAUUAGAAAUGAAAUAAAGACCUUAGCGUCGUUAACAAAUAGUCCUAA